GCAGCAGCAGCAGCAACUGGAUUUGCUUUUUCACCAGAGGAUCCAGAUUUCCCUGUGGCCUCGCAAACAAAAAAGAAGGAAGACGGAGCAGCACAGUCAUCCCUUUGUGAAAAAGGCAUUCAGAGACGGGGUUUCACCGUGUUAGCCAGGAUGGUCUCGAUCUCCUGACCUCGCGAUCCGCCCGCCUCGGCCUCCCAAAGUGCUGGGAUUACAGGCGUGAGCCACCGCGCCCGGCCUCAGCAGGUUUUUCAAAAGUCAUGGCGUGUAAUUGUCCGAACAGUGAACUUCGGAGAUCCACCGGAGGGGCGAGGCCACAGCUCGACCGCGAGCACCUGAGCAUCCUGCACCGCCUGCGACGGCCGUCAGGGGGCGCGAUGCCGCCUCACAGAACCUCAAGCGGCGCCCGGGUUCCGGCACAGACGGCCUGCGGCUCCAGGGGGCGGAGCCGAGCCGUCUCCUCAGGACCUACGCAGGAGGCGCCGUCAUCCCUACAGGGACACCUGAGAGGGCCCAGCCUCCUCCUCCUCAGGACCCACUCGGGAGACGCCGCUGGCUCUCUAGGAACACCUGGGGACCGUGGCCAGGGACGACCCAGCCUCCUUCUCCUCAGCUCCUCAGGAACGACUGGGGAAGCUGUGGCUUCAUGGUCCCCGAGGCUGCCCGAGGAAAGGUAUUUCAGGACAGCCAGGAGGGGGCGCACAUCCGCCGAGAAACUGUGAGCAAGAGCGUCUGUGCUGAACCAUGGCGCCACCAGAGGGCGCGCGAUCCCGCCCCAACCAACUUCCCGCUGAGGUGCCAGAAGCAGCGAGGAGCUUCAGCUUCCUCAGGGCAGCACGAGGGUCGUGUUAACUUGGUGUUCUUCAUUGGUUCCCCAACAGUUAUUGCUGUACCAGAUUUGCAGUGUCCCACAAAAUACUCCGGUAUGUUGUACUGAAAGCAUGGACACUCUCCCAGGUAACUACCACAUAACCCCUAGAUCAGGAAAUCAGCAUUGUUCCUCCAUGAUAAUUCGGUCCACAAACUCACUUCACUUUUACCUCAUGCCACACUUGGGAGUAUAAUGUGUAUUUUUUUUUUUUUCAUUAGGAUCCAGUUUUCUUUUCCUGGAACUGUUCCCCAGACUUUCCUGCGUAUUUAUGAC
ensembl:lncRNA FAM157A family with sequence similarity 157 member A